ACUGACUUCAAUUAUAUGUAGAACCAUCCAAAAGUCUCCUCUCAGGGGAUUUCCAAACUGGAAAUAACCAACACAACUAGGUCAAGCAUCCAUCAUGCACCAUGUACACCACAGUGCACCACAGCUGAGACCAGUGUGGAUCCCACCAUCAGCAGCUUUUCCAAAGGACCCAGGCAAAAUGUUUCUUUUUGAGGCAGAGAAUUCUUCUAAAUGAUUGUUGGAACUUAGAAUUACUCAAGAUUAUUAUAACCGAGUGGCCAGAGGGAUAUGCUGCCAUUAUGUCCUUCAGCAUAAAGAACUGGUGACUUCUGUAAGUGUGGUGUUUCUGAGGGCAUCCUCUUCCACAUUUUUAGCGUAAUCUACCUCGACACACAGAUGCAAUGCUCACAGAGGCCAGAACGCUUCCCAGAAGCAGCCAAGGUAUUAACUUUGGGAUCCUGAAUUUCAACCAAAGAAAACAGGACUGAGUGAAGCCUGAAAUCUUGAGGCAGUAAAAUACAGAAAGGCAAGUGGCAAACCAUAGGCUGAUAGAGCUAAAAAACAUCCAAAGGAACAUCAUUGCUGCACCAUAAAUUAUUUUGACGUAAAGGAGUGGAAAGAACACAGAGAAAAAACUUUGUACCAUUAACACCAUCUGCAGACCAAAUCUAGACAUCCCUAUGCACAUUAAGAGGAUUUGAAUUGGCAUUAGCUUUCUAUGUUUGAUCAAUUCAUUACAGUUAACAAUGAUAAGAAAUCCAUUUACUGUGAUCCCUGUGAAGAAUUCUGCUGACAUCAUGAUAAUAUGAAGAAUAGCUGAAAAAGACAAGGCCAUGUUUUCUAAGUAAGACAAGUCUUAGCUUUUCCUUGUAGAUGGUCCUGAAUACUUCCUCCAGAUGAUCUUGCAAAUGGGAACAUACAGCACCGAGAAGUCUCAACUUCUGCCAGCUUCUGUAUCAUGGGUAGAGCCUUACACUAGCUUUUCCUCUAAGGAAGAAAAUCAGAGACUACUUUUUGAAUCUGGUGCUCUUCAGAUGAAACUGGAGCAAUGCAAAUCUGAAGAUAUGAAUGAUGGCUAGGUCUUCCAAUUACAUCCUGAGAAAAAUUGCUCCCUUGGCACCAUUCCAUUCUCACUCUUGCUCAAUUUUGAAAAAAAAAAAUCUGAUUGCAAGUAUGUUUUGCUUUGGUUAUUGAUGUUUUGUUUUUGUCUUUUAUUUUUUCCUAAUGCUAAAUGCUGCAUCCUGAAGACAGAUACUUAUUUCCUAUUACUGCCACAAAUAUCCAGUCUCAAAGAUAGCUCUUUCCCCGGCACACUGUUUGACUUAUAAUAAUUUCAAGACACUUUAAUAAAAUUUCCCCUCCCCAUAUCCUAUCCCUACUAAAGGCAAUUUCCUUUCCAGACUUGAAAAUCAGUUCCUGGAAUAUAACUUUUUAAUAAAAAUCUUCC
rnacentral:lncRNA from 1 species